rnacentral:lncRNA from 1 species
UUUUAAGAGAACCUGUUUAAACUACCGUAAAUACUUCAAACAAAAUAUUUUUUUACUUCAAUUUUAAUUUCGAAAAAAGUGGAUCAUACUAUAUCAAAGUUUCUUGAUGAUCACUUUCUAAAGUUUUUCUCCCUCAGCUCACUACUGAUGACCUCCAUUUUUCGGCCGGUGACCCAAAACAGGAAGUUGUAUAAAUGACUGUUUUUCCCGGAAUGG